GGGCCCGUAGCUCAACUGGUAGAGCAACGGCCUUUUAAGCCGUUGGUUCAGGGUUCGAGUCCCUGCGGGCUCA
rnacentral:tRNA from 1 species